AUUGAACGCUGGCGGCAUGCCUUACACAUGCAAGUCGAACGGCAGCACGGGUGCUUGCACCUGGUGGCGAGUGGCGAACGGGUGAGUAAUACAUCGGAACAUGUCCUGUCGUGGGGGAUAGCCCGGCGAAAGCCGGAUUAAUACCGCAUACGAUCUACGGAUGAAAGCGGGGGGCCUUCGGGCCUCGCGCUAUAGGGUUGGCCGAUGGCUGAUUAGCUAGUUGGUGGGGUAAAGGCCUACCAAGGCGACGAUCAGUAGCUGGGCUGAGAGGACGACCAGCCACACUGGGACUGAGACACGGCCCAGACUCGUACGGGAGGCAGCAGUGGGGAAUUUUGGACAAUGGGCGAAAGCCUGAUCCAGCAAUGCCGCGUGUGUGAAGAAGGCCUUCGGGUUGUAAAGCACUUUUGUGCGGAAAGAAAUCCUUGGCCCUAAUACGGUCGGGGGAUGACGGUACCGGAAGAAUAAGCACCGGCUAACUACGU
rnacentral:rRNA from 1 species